AUUGAACGCUGGCGGCAUGCCUUACACAUGCAAGUCGAACGGCAGCACGGGAGCAAUCCUGGUGGCGAGUGGCGAACGGGUGAGUAAUAUAUCGGAACGUGCCCAGUCGUGGGGGAUAACGUAGAGAAAUUUACGCUAAUACCGCAUACGAUCUAAGGAUGAAAGCGGGGGAUUCGCAAGAACCUCGCGCGAUUGGAGCGGCUGAUAUCAGAUUAGGUUGUUGGUGAGGUAAAAGCUCACCAAGCCGACGAUCUGUAGCUGGUUUGAGAGAACGACCAGCCACACUGGGACUGAGACACGGCCCAGACUCCUACGGGAGGCAGCAGUGGGAAUUUUGGACAAUGGGCGAAAGCCUGAUCCAGCAAUGCCGCGUGCAGGAAGAAGGCCU
rnacentral:rRNA from 1 species